rnacentral:sRNA from 1 species
UCCAGCAUUAUCAAUAAAUGCUUGAACUUUGUCAGGAAACGUGUAUCUUAGGGAAGUCUUUUGGAUUCAAGUUGUGAAAUGUGAUGCUUAUGGUUGAGCUUUUUCCUUGAUAUUCGAUGGCCACUACGGAUCACUGUAGAAGAAGUAAAUUCAUUAAUUAUUAAGGAAAUAAACAUGGCAACAGGUGUAGUUAAAUGGUUCAAUGACGCUAAAGGUUUUGGCUUUAUUACCCCAGAUAACGGUGGAGAAGAUUUAUUUGCACACUUCUCUGCAAUCAACAGCAACGGUUUCAAAUCACUGCGUGAAGCACAACGCGUUACCUUCGAUGUAACGACAGGCCCUAAAGGCAAGCAAGCAUCGAACAUCGUGCCGCAGUAAGUAGAGCAUAAAGCUUAAACAAAAAACCCCGGUCUGCCGGGGUUUUUUGU